GCUCCGGUGGCCUAGUGGUUAAAGCGUCCGCCUGGGAUGCGAGAGGUCGUGGAUUCAAUCCCCGGUUGAUUCA